UACGAAGGGGGCGAGCGUUGUUCGGAAUUACUGGGCGUAAAGGGCGCGCAGGCGGCUCUGAAAGUCAGAUGUGAAAGCCCCGGGCUUAACCUGGGAAUUGCAUUUGAUACUCUGGAGCUUGAGUACGGGAGAGGAGAGUGGAAUUCCCAGUGUAGCGGUGAAAUGCGCAGAUAUCGGGAAGAACACCCAUGGCGAAGGCGGCACUCUGGGACGGUACUGACGCUGAGACGCGAAAGCGUGGGGAGCGAACAGG
rnacentral:rRNA from 1 species